CCAAUAGCGUAUAUUAAAGUUGUUGCAGUUAAAAAGCUCGUAGUUGAAUUUCGGGGUUCUUCCGUUGGUCCGGCUAACAAGUCUGUACUAGCGUGUAGAAUCUCUACCUUCUGGGGAACCAUCAUGUUAUUAAUUUAGCGUGGUGGGAAACCAGGACCUUUACCUUGAAAAAAUUAGAGUGUUCAAAGCAGGCUUACGUCUGAAUACAUUAGCAUGGAAAAAUAAAAUAGGACGGUGGUCCUGUUUUGUUGGUUUCUGAAUCACCGUAAUGAUUAAUAGGGAUAGUUGGGGGCAUUAGUAUUCAAUUGUCAGAGGUGAAAUUCUUGGAUUUAUUGAAGACUAACUUCUGCGAAAGCAUUUGCCAAGGAUGUUUUCAUUAAUCAAGAACGAAAGUUAGGGGAUCGAAGACGAUCAGAUACCGUCGUAGUCUUAACCAUAAACUAUGCCGACUAGGGAUCGGACGAUGUUAAAUUUUAUUGACUCGUUCGGCGCCUUACG
rnacentral:misc_RNA from 1 species